rnacentral:rRNA from 1 species
UACAGAGGUCCCAAGCGUUGUUCGGAUUUACUGGGCGUAAAGGGUGCGUAGGCGGUCGGGUAAGUCUGAUGUGAAAUCUCCGAGCUUAACUCGGAAAUGGCAUUGGAUACUAUUCGGCUGGAGAGUUGGAGGGGGGACUGGAAUACUUGGUGUAGCAGUGAAAUGCGUAGAUAUCAAGUGGAACACCAGUGGCGAAGGCGAGUCCCUGGACAACUUCUGACGCUGAGGCACGAAAGCUAGGGGAGCAUACAGG